AGACAAAUAACACAUUAUUGAAAUGCCCUGAUAAGUGCUUUUCAUAGAUAAUACUAUGGAAUUACAGAGGAGGGGCACUUAAUCCAGACUGGGAGGGGCAUAAAAGAGGAAUGCACUACUUCCCAUAACAAGAAGUUCUACAUUGGGACCACACCACUCCAGGAUUGAUUCAUUCAAUGGCUCAUAAAUCUGCCAUCCUCAGGACCCAGUGAUGUCCAAGGACUGAAAAGGAUUGUGUGUCUCUACUUAUUAGCUUGAGAAACCUUGCCAGAGGUCCUUGGACGCUUUCUACCUAUUUGCCCAAAUUAGAUAUAUCCCUGGCAAGGUGAAUGAGUGCCUUAGAUCAGUCCCAAUUCCCUUCUGUAGGCCUGAAGCUAGAGAGACUUAGCAGGAAGAUGGAACUUACCCAAAAGUAGAGCUCUGCCAGCAUGGGAAAAAGGAAAAGUGCCUGCAACAGGAAAAACAACAAAGAGAGAGAGGUGGAGAGGAACACGCCAAAGAAAGAGAGAGAGCCCACACUAUCCUAAGCUCCUGAAUGCACUGUGACAUCCAGGUGUCCUGGGGAAGACAUAAACACAUCAUACAGCACCCACAGGAACUUCAAGAGACUGGAGUUAAUAAAGAGAUUAAAGAGAUUAA
rnacentral:lncRNA from 1 species